GACGAACGCUGGCGGCGUGCCUAAUACAUGCAAGUCGAACGCUGAGGAGAGGAGCUUGCUCUUCUUGGGUGAGUUGCGAACGGGUGAGUAACGCGUAGGUAACCUGCCUUUUAGCGUGGGAUAACUAUUGGAAACGAUAGCUAAUACCGCAUAACAUUUUGUGACACAUGGCUUUUUUGUGAAAGGGGCAAUUGCUGCACUACAUGAUUGACCUGCGUUGUAUUAGCUAGUGGGUAAGGUAAUGGCUCACCUAGGGAAGGAUACUUAACCGACCGGGGAGGUGGAUCGGCCACACGGGAACUGGAACAGGCCCCAGACUCCUAGGGAAGGCGGCAGAGGGAAAUCUUCGGCAAGGGGGGAAAGCCGAACGGGGCAAGGCGGCGGGGUGGAGAAGGGUCUCGGGUCCUAAAGACUCUUUGUUAGGGAAGAAACGGAGUGGGAGUGGACAGUUCACGUUGUGACGGUAGCUAAUCAGAAAGCGACGGCUAACUACGUG
rnacentral:rRNA from 1 species